rnacentral:misc_RNA from 1 species
AACGCACCUUGCGCUCCUCGGUUUUCCGUGGAGCAUGCCUGUUUGAGUGCCCAGAAAUACUCUCAACUUGACUCCUUUGUGUGCCAGGUUGGAAGGUGGGGGUUCUGCCGCUGUCUCUUUUGGCCGUGGCUCCCCUUGAACAAGUUAGCUGGCCGUGUACGAGGUCCUGCCCCUGGCUUGAUAUACAUCUAUGCCGCGGUGCAAACUCGUGUUGGCUGCUCACAGUCGUCCUUGGACAAAUAUUUUUUAAGCUCGGGCCUCAAAUCAGGUAGGAUUACCCGCUGAACUUAA